UAGUUUUCUCAGUACCUUAUCUUAGUCUGGAACUCUGCUUUCAAUUUCUGUAAUCUGGCGCUAUGCAUCCGGAUCCCAGACCCUUACAGGCACUGCUCUUCAUCACUGCUACAGUUCUCUUCUCCGCUACAUGUUCAGAUUUGAUUCCUCAUUUUAUUUCUGAGCCCCUGGCUACUAUCCAGAAGCCUGGUGUGCCUGUAAAGCUUCAUUGCUCUGCUGAACCCUCCACAGCUCGCAUUUCUUGGAUGUUUAACGGACAGAGGUUGGACAGCAGGGUGGAGCAAGUGGAGGUGCAGCUAGGAUCUUUGACAAUCUUCUCUCUCAGCCCCUCAAAUUCUGGUCACUAUCAGUGCAUUGCCAAUUACAGUGCUGGUGCAAUUGUGAGCAGGCCUGCUGUAGUAUCCGUAGGCUAUCUUGAUGAUUUUGAUACUUCAGUGAAACACAUAGUUACAGCAGAAGAAGGAAGUGCUGCCUUCAUUGGCUGUAAGGUACCAGAAAGUAACCCUAAAGCACAAGUUCGCUUUCGAGUACGGGGAAAAUGGCUGGAACAAUCAACAGAUAACUACCUAAUUCUUCCAUCUGGAAAUCUGCAGAUUUUGAAUGUCUCUUUGGAGGAUAAAGGCUCCUAUAAAUGUGCAGCAUACAACCCAGUCACUCAUGAUCUCAAAUUAGAACCCACUGGACAUAAGCUCAUAGUCAGCCGCACUUCUGCAGAAGGCUUUCGUAUUCUUCACCCCACCGUUUCUCAGGCUUUGGCAGUACCUCAGCACAGUCCCCUAACUCUAGAGUGUGUUGUUAGUGGGUUGCCUGCAUCUCAUGUCCACUGGUCUAAGGAUGGUCAGGAUGCACUGACUGGAAGCAGGUGGAGACUGCUGCACUCUCAUCUUGUGACUGACAGACUUGGUACAUUGGAUGCUGGAAACUACUCCUGUGUGGUGGCAAAUGAGUCUGGAGUAGCAAAAUAUAUAAAUUACACAGUAACUAUACUUGAAUCUGCCUCAAUUUCUAAAGGACUGCAGGAUCAAACAGUGGCUGUGGGUGCAACUAUACAUUUCUCAUGUGACAUUCAUGGAAACCCUGCUCCUAAUCUUACCUGGUUCCAUAAUGCAGCUCCCAUCCAUCUCUCUCCACGACAUCUGGUCACAGGAAACAGGUUGAGAAUCAGUGGCAUCACCAAGGAGGAUUCUGGGUUGUACCAGUGUGUGGCAAACAAUGGGAUUGGUUUUAUGCAGUCCACUGGGAGACUUCAAAUCCAGACAGGCAAAGGUUCCAAGCCGGUUAUAGUUUAUUCACCAGCUAAUGCCAAUGUGGUAGAUGGUGGUGAUGUUACAUUGUCAUGCAAUGCCACUGGACUACCUGUUCCUGUAAUCCGUUGGUACAACAGCCAUGGACUUAUUACCAGCCACCCCUCUCAGGUCCUACAUUCAAAACCACGAAAAUCUCCACAAACAAGAAGAGGCAGCACGAUUUUAGAACCCGUCUACUUCACCAUGUCUCGAGCUGGAUCAAGCUCCCUAUACAUUCAGGCAGUUACUCCAGAGCAUGCUGGGAAAUACUCUUGUGAAGCAACAAAUAAACACGGCUCAGCGCUGUCCGACGCAUUUCUUACCGUUGUUCCUUUUGAAUCUAGUACAAAAGCUGAAGAAGUCACUCCUAUGGAGGGUGCCCAAAGUGAUGAAGGUGAUGGAGAUUAUGAUACAGAAGUGAGGUUCUCAAAUUUGUCUCCGACAAAGUUGCAUCUUGAUGCAGUUGCUACAGAAAAGACACCCAAUGGGGCUUUGCCUCCUGAAGCCCCAAUCAUCCUCAGCCCUCCACAGACACUCAAGCCAGACAUGUAUAACCUGGUGUGGCGCUCUGGAAAGGAUGGCGGCUUGCCCAUCAAUGCUUACUUCGUGAAAUAUCGCAAGCUGGAUGAUGGUGUCAGUGUCAUGGGAAGCUGGCAUACAGUUCGUGUUCCUGGAAGUGAAAAUGAGCUGCUUCUCUCAGAACUGGAGCCCUCCAGCCUCUAUGAAGUUCUGAUGGUAGCGAGGAGUGCUGCUGGUGAAGGCCAGCCUGCCAUGCUUACAUUUCGCACCAGCAAAGAAAGAACAUCCUCCUCAAAAAACACUCAGCCCCCAUCUCCCCCACUUGGCAUUCCUAAACAUCCUGUCAUUCAGGAAGGGACAAAUAACUUUGGGGUGGUCCUUCCAGACCUGUCUCGACACAGUGGAGUUCCAGAAGCUCCAGAUCGCCCUGCUAUCUCUACAGCUUCAGAGACCUCUGUCUAUGUCACAUGGAUCCCACGUGCAAAUGGUGGCUCCCCCAUCACUGCCUUUAAAGUCGAGUACAAGCGCAUGAGCCGAAACAGCGAUUGGCUAAUUGCAGCCGAUAGCAUCUCUCCUUCUAAACUGUCAGUGGAAGUUCGCAACUUAGACCCAGGAGCAACGUACAAAUUCCGUGUGAUUGCCGUUAACAAUUACGGAGAUAGUCCACGAAGCUCACCAUCUCGGCCAUAUCAAGUCGCUGGCUUUACCAACCGUUUUUCCAACCGCCCAAUCACAGGACCUCACAUUGCCUACACUGAGGCAGUCAGCGACACUCAGAUCAUGUUAAAAUGGACUUAUAUUACUUCAAGCAACAACAAUACCCCCAUCCAAGGAUUUUAUAUCUAUUACCGACCAACUGACAGUGACAAUGAUAGUGAUUACAAGAGAGAGAUUGUAGAAGGUACAAAGCAGUGGCACUUGAUAAGCCACCUGCAGCCAGAAACAUCUUACGACAUUAAAAUGCAGUGCUAUAAUGAGGGAGGAGAAAGUGAGUACAGCAACGUAAUGAUGUGCGAGACGAAAGUGAAACGCACACCUGGAGCAUCAGAAUAUCCAGUGAAGGAUCUGAGUACACCACCUAAUUCUCCUGAUCGUGCCGGUGGAGGCAAUGCUGGCCCAUCAAAUGGCCCUGUUCGGAGCAGCGACAUGCUAUAUCUGAUUGUGGGCUGUGUCCUUGGAGUGAUGGUCCUUAUUCUGAUAGUUUUCAUUGCCAUGUGUCUGUGGAAGAAUCGCCAGCAAAACACCAUGCAGAAGUAUGACCCUCCUGGUUACCUCUACCAAGGUGCAGAUAUCAAUGGGCAAAUGGUCGAAUACGCUGCUUUACCAGGCACAAACCGCAUCAAUGGUAGCAUACAUGGAAACUUCAUCAGCAAUGGGUGGUGGAGUGUACACAGCAGUGCCUCAGACUGACCCCUCGGAGUGCAUCACUUGCCGGAAUUGUCGGAACAAUAACAGGUGUUUCACCAAAACCAAUGGCACUUUUAGCAGCAAGACACUACCUGUGGUGCCCAUAGUAGCACCUUAUCAGCAGGACAGUUUAGAGAUGAAACCAAUGAAUCAUGUGAUGGUAGCCAUGUGUUUAGCCUCCACGGUCCCAGAACGCAGCGUCGAGAUGGAGGAAGACAGCAAGGAGAAAGUGGAGCAGCCAUCUAGUCAGCAUUCUUGCUGUCAGGAAAAUAUGAAUCCGAUUAACAUAGAUUACCCAGAAGGUGACAUCUGUGCACAUUUGGAAACAUCAAAUCCUAUUUUGAGCUGGAGCCCUCUUAUUCUGCAGCCUGUUUCGAAGGACUGUAAUGAAAAAUCAGGAUGGAAUUCACCUGGUGUCAGUUUAAACAGCUCCGGGGACCUUCGACAGCUCCACGCGCAGGAAACCUGAAGAAGCAGCAACCGUUUUCCCACUCAAAGCCAGUAACUGCACAGCAGAGUCACUGACAAGGACUGGUGGAUGGGGUGUUAAUUAUAACAGAGAGAGUCACUAUUUAUUUUUUUGUAGUAGUGUCAUGAAUGUAUCUUGUUUAAAAUGUUUGCCUUUUAAUAUUAUUUAUGCCUUGAGAAAUUCCUUUGUUUUUUCCACACCCUGUGGAAUUAGCCUGGUUAUGUAUAAAGUUUUGUAAUAAUAUAAAGAACAACAAUGGGAAAUAUAUAGAGUGUUUUCCAUGGAUAUUACCAGCAUGAGAAGCACUUCUGCAAAGGAGCAUUGAUGUUGAGUAUGCAGAUUUUAGAAUGGAUCUAACCCGAGUGGUUCUGAAGUUCAUAGCAGAUUAUAGCCACCCUAUAGAGCUGCCGUGUCACUGGCAUUUGUUGCAAUAUUUUUACGUCUGAUUUGCCUGACUACAUUUGAAUGCCGUUGUUUCAGGCUCUCUUGAUGGAAAGAGAUUUUAUAAUGGAACCCCAGCAUAAUGAUCCCCAGCCGAUCGGUUUAUACGAAUGGUACAGCUGGUCGAAUAGUAAUACAUCUAUUUGGGAGCCAGAGCCCUGCAUUCAGUUGGAUGCUACUUAUCAUAUUUUUAGUUAUCUCCAAGUAUUGGAAAACCUCUAAUGUUCAGAGAAAAUUUCAUCAUUCCCCAGACUUUCAUGCCAUCCAACAGGAAUGAUUUAUCUGAACAUUCUUACUGGAAGGUCCCUAUUUGUUGUUCUAAUCAGGGAACAGAAACUAUUCCAUAUGACUUGUGGGACCAGCUGUAUAAUGUACAUAUGGAAUAAUCUACAUGAAUAAUAUGUAAACAGCCUGGAGUCUGAGCAUUGUUUAUUCAAGCUCGUCAGCACAUAGUGAUUUUUCUGAACGUAUUCGUUACUCUUGUUAAAGGCUCUCAACCAAAAAAGGCUGCUAAAUUCAGAAGAGUUAUUGGCAGCAACUCUCUCUUAUUUGCCAGUUGUUUUGCAUUCUUGUGCAUGUUUUAAAUUUUGCUGCAGGUAAAUCGGGCUGAAUUUUCUAAAUUUACAUCUUAAAUCUGCUCAUGCAUGCACACUUUGGGAUUGAUAAACCAAGAGUAAAUGCCGACAGGGCAAAGUGAACUCACUCUGAAAUAAGAGACAGUUCUUUGGCACCUUUGUAGACCAACAGACAUAUUGGAGCAUAAGCUUUCGUGGGUGACAUGCAUCUGACGAAGUGGGUAUUCACCCACGAAAGCUUU